rnacentral:piRNA from 1 species
UAAUAAUUAGGGAAAUUACUCUCGAGGUC